rnacentral:rRNA from 1 species
UGGGGAAUAUUGGACAAUGGGCGCAAGCCUGAUCCAGCCAUGCCGCGUGAGUGAUGAAGGCCCUAGGGUUGUAAAGCUCUUUCACCGGUGAAGAUAAUGACGGUAACCGGAGAAGAAGCCCCGGCUAACUUCGUGCCAGCAGCCGCGGUAAUACGAAGGGGGCUAGCGUUGUUCGGAUUUACUGGGCGUAAAGCGCACGUAGGCGGACUAUUAAGUCAGGGGUGAAAUCCCGGGGCUCAACCCCGGAACUGCCUUUGUUACUGGUAGUCUUGAGUUCGAGAGAGGUGAGUGGAAUUCCGGGUGUAGAGGUGAAAUUCGUAGAUAUUCGGAGGAACACCAGUGGCGAAGGCGGCUCACUGGCUCGAUACUGACGCUGAGGUGCGAAAGCGUGGGGAGCAAACAGG